CCUUCGGGCAGAUGACCUGUAUUCUUAGUGGCGGACGGGUGAGUAACACGUGAGCAACCUGCCUUCAAGAGGGGGAUAGCACCUGGAAACGGGUGGUAAUACCGCAUAAGACCACGGUGUCGCAUGGCACAGAGGUCAAAGGAGCAAUCCGCUUGAAGAUGGGCUCGCGUCCGAUUAGAUAGUUGGUGAGGUAACGGCUCACCAAGUCGACGAUCGGUAGCCGGACUGAGAGGUUGAACGGCCACAUUGGGACUGAGAUACGGCCCAGACUCC
rnacentral:rRNA from 1 species